UUUUGACCUCGGAUCAGGUAGGGAUACUCGCUGAACUUAAGCAUAUCAAUAAGCGGAGGAAA
rnacentral:rRNA from 1 species